AAACAUGACUUUGAUCUGCGUCCUCAUCUGGACUCUCCUCUGCUGCUGCUUCACAGAGUCCAGAGGACAGAUCACAGUGACUCAGCCUGGAGCAGUGAGCUCUGCUGUGGGAGGAUCUGUGAGGAUCGAGUGUAAAGUCAGUGAGGAUGUUUAUGGCUCUAGCUCGUUAGCCUGGUACCAACAGAAAAAUGGAGAUCCCCCUAAACUGCUCAUUUAUGCUGCUGACUCUCUAGAAUCAGGGAUUCCAGCUCGUUUUACAGGCAGUGGAUCAGACUCUGACUUCACUCUGACCAUCAGUGGAGUCCAGGCUGAAGAUGCAGCAGUUUAUUACUGUCAGAGUGUUCAUGAGAUCAACAGUCAGUAUGUGUUCACACAGUGAAAAACAGUCGUACAAAAACCUCCCUCAGUCAGACUGAACAGAAACUGAACUGACUGCUGCAGCUGGAAGAUACUGCAGAGACUGAUACAGUUCACUGAGGACACACAC